CUACCGGCGCCGGAAGCCUCGGGCUCCGGAGUGAGGCUGCGGCCCUUGAAAGCCCAAACUACCGAGCGGAGACGAGCCGCAGAGACCACCCCACAACUUCCUGGGGCCGAGGGGCACCGGGCCAGAGCGAGGAAGGAACUUGCCAAAAGGCACGUAGCGUUUGGAGCUCAGCCGGAGCGGCUGCUCAGGGCCCCGGCGAUCGGGGCUGGGCGCUCCCGGACUUGUGAGCAGAGCUCAUAGAAAUUCCGAGCUGGAGGGACCCUGCAGGGCUCUCACUGUUGCUGCUAACAUGCACUGCUCCAGACACUGCUCGGUGACAACCUGGGAUGCCUUCAAUUAUUUCAAAGGUGUUAUCAAAUUCUCAAAACAGCCCUGGCCGGUUGGCUCAGGGUGCGUGCCAGAGGCACCAAUGAUACAUUGAUGUUUUUCUCUCUGCCUCCCUCCCUUCCAUUCUCUU